rnacentral:rRNA from 1 species
CUCCGGUUGAUCCUGCCGGACCUGACUGCUAUCGGAUUGGUACUAAGCCAUGCGAGUCAUUGUAGCAAUACAAGGCGGACGGCUCAGUAACACGUAGUCAACCUAACUCGUGGACGUGGAUAACCUCGGGAAACUGAGAAUAAACCACGAUAGAUCAUAGUGCCUGGAAUGGCUUAUGGUCCAAACAGUUUACUGCCAUGGGAUGGGACUGCGGCCUAUCAGCUUGUUGGUGAGGUAAUGGCCCACCAAGGCGAUUACAGGUACGGGCUCUGAGAGGAGAAGCCCGGAGAUGGGUACUGAGACACGGACCCAGGCCCUAUGGGGCGCAGCAGGCGAGAAACCUUAGCAAUGCGCGAAAGCACGACUGGGUCAGUCCGAGUGAUUCCUGAUAAAGGAGUCUUUUGCUUGUCCUAAAAGCACAGGUGAAUAAGGGGUGGGCAAGUCUGGUGUCAGCCGCCGCGGUAAUACCAGCACCUCGAGUGGUCAGGACGUUUAUUGGGCCUAAAGCAUCCGUAGCCGGCUCUGCAAGUCUUCGGUUAAAUCCACCUGCUCAACAGAUGGGCUGCUGGAGAUACUACAGAGCUAGGGAGUGGGAGAGGCAGACGGUAUUCAGUGGGUAGGGGUAAAAUCCUCUGAUCCAUUGAGGACCACCAGUGGCGAAGGCGGUCUGCCAGAACACGUUCGACGGUGAGGGAUGAAAGCUGGGGGAGCAAACCGGAUUAGAUACCCGGGUAGUCCCAGCUGUAAACGAUGCAAACUCGGUGAUGCAUUGGCUUAUGGCCAAUGCAGUGCCGCAGGGAAGCCGUUAAGUCUGCCGCUUGGGGAGUACGGUCGCAAGACUGAAACUUAAAGGAAUUGGCGGGGGAGCA